GAUGAUGUCUGGGACCCCACAUCGAGGGGUGGUCAUUUUCGAUACCGUCGUGGCAUCUAAUGUGCCCGUGGGGUUAAUAUGGUAAUUUCGCUGGUAGGUUUUGAUGGCGGACUCUAAGGUUUCGUCGAAAUCGUCGUUGUUGGCGUGGGUUUCAUUUGGGUAUUGGAGAUAGCCAAAUUGAUGGAGGUAGUUUUUGAGGUGGUGGAUAUCUUUGGUUUUGUUACCCUUGUGACAACCUUGUAGGGUUUUGAUGAACUCAAAUGGUGAUGGUUUUUGUUCACUUGGUGUAUCCCUCUUGGCUUGGCCAAUAGGAGAGAGGGAAAUUAUGGCAAAAAUGAAGAUGAAUGAUAGGAGAUUAAAUUGUUUAAGUGCCAUAAUUAAGUAUUCAAGAAGAUAUACUCAAAGAAUUGAAUAAGAAGUUUGUGUAUAACAUAUUGCUAUGUAGUAUGUCUAUUUAUAUAUACACAUUUGUAUGUGGAAAAAUGAUGCAUAAAUAUUAGAGAUGACUCAUAGUAGAAGUCUGUUUUAUGUUUCACUAGAAUACAUUGCCUUGCAUUUAGAAGACCAAUGACUAUAUUGUGGAAAUUUGCGUCCAUAUGUAUAAAUUUUCCACAUUUGGAAUGUGGAAAUAAAUUGUGUUUAUUUUCCACGAAUAAUUGACGGGUUUGGAAUUUUUAGGAAACUAUAUUGUGACCAAUGACUUGGAAAAUUGGGAGGAAAUUGAACAAAUUGGAAUUAAAUUACCACAUUUGAAAAAAAAAAAAAAUCUUUUUUUCUUUUGGAAAUUGAAAAAUAAUGUUAUUGGUCCAAUAUCCCAAGUAAAAUUAAAAAAAAAAAAACUCUUUCAUAACAAUAAGUAAGUAUAUAAAUGCAAACAACUCUCGUGUCCUAUGCAAUCAAAAGUAAAGUACAACGGCAUUCUGCCAACGAUCGUUAUGUCGAGUUUGUAAUACAUGGUUAGUUUAGUGUGAUUUACUUAUCUUGUAUGCAUAGUUUGCAAGUUAUUAUAUCAUAGUGUAAGUUUACCUAGUGCACCUAUAUAAUUGGCUGCAGGUUCUUUCAUAUCAAAAAAGAAAAAGAAAAAAGUAAAAUGGCAGUGUACUCAUUUUCAAAUUUACAUUAACAAAGUAACGAUUUUGUAGAUGUUGCGUUCGAUGAAAUAUAUCUGGUGAUUCGACGGCAUUGAUCUAUAUAUAAUAACACACAGGCGCCUAUGCGUAUGUGUGGCUUAGCGGAUGGUUAUUUAUAUAGAUCUAUGAUCUAAAAUCACCUAAUAUAUUUCACCAAGUAUAGCAUUUUAUAAAUCAAAAACGACGAUCGUUACCCAGUAAUAUUGUGUGGGGGUUAUUUAUCUAAAUUAGGGUAUUAAUCUUUUAAAUAAAUAUUAUGGAUUCUAGUAAAAAAUAAAUUAUAAAAUGACUAAAAUAUUCCUCUUACUAAUUUUUUUACCAUUAAUUAUCUACUUAACAAAUUAGUACUAAUAAUAGCAAAUUAAAAUAAUUUUUUUUUCCAAAACGAUAAAUAAUUUCAUAAAAUGAUUAUUUAUUUACCAAAAAAGAAAGUUAGUUCUAUUAUGAUUGGACCGAAUAUUCCUCAAUAUUUCAGCGGUAGUUUGGUCUUUCUGGCAACGAGGGUGAUUAAUUCGCUAAUACGUACUACUAGGGGUAAUAUGCUAUCCCUUAAAUCCAUCAUAAUUUGAACUAAAUGAUAAGUUUAAAUCCAAUAUUUUAUUUAAAUCUUUAGUUUGAAAUAAUAUCAAAUCCUUAAAUUUUCUUUUAUUCCUAUGUUGCCCUUAUUUAAAUCAUAUAACUUCACGUAUCUCAAUCCAGAUUUAUUUAUUUUCUUUAAUCUUCUCUCUCGCCUUUUAUUCUCUCUCUCUCUCUCUCUCUCUCUCUCUAUAUGUCAAUUUCCUCUUUUUUUUUUUUUUUUUCUCUCUCACCUCUCUAUCUCUAUCUCGCUCUCUCCGGUAAGCACAAAGGCCGGGGCCGACGGCGGAGGGAAUAGGAGCGGGGCCAACUGGGGAAGUGGUGGUGGAGGAGGCGGCGGCGGCGGCAGCUGGGUGGCGGAGGAAGCAGGGUUCUUUUUUUUUUUCUUCUUUAUAUAUAUAUAUAUAUAUAUAUAUAUAUAUAUAUAUAUAUAUAUAUAUAUAUAUAUAUAUAUAUAUAUAUAUAUAUAUAUAUAUAUAUAUAUAUAUAUUUUCAAUGUUAUGUAAGGAAAAAAUAAAGUUUUUUUUUAUAUAUAAUAGUGCAUAAAAUGCUAAAAUCACGAAAGAAAAAAAAAAGACAAACGAGUAUUCUGUAAAAAAUAUUAAAAAACGUAAAUUGGAAAAAUGAAAAACAUAGAAAAAUGAUAAAUGCAGUUUGAUUUUACUUAAUGCAAAUUUUGAAUUUUGUACUGGAGGGGCAUUUUUGGAAUAAAUUUUAUGAAAAAUGUGAAACAAAUGUUUAGUUGGACUUGUCAUUUAGUUCUAAUAAAUUUUGUCAAGAGGGAGCCCCUGUGUACUAAUUAGUUUGCAUAAUAAUAUCUAUCUAUCUGGAAAAAUCAUUUUGGCGGUCACCGGCGCCGAACUUAAUGGCAGAUCAACUGUGAGCCGCCGCCGAAUUAGAGCCCACGAUCCAAUUUGUUAGAUCCGAUAUACGUAAUCCAGAUUCCACCACCGCUCUCGUUUCUUCUUCAAUCUCGAAAAUUCCGACGGCGAAAAGAGUCAACCAUGGGAUUGUUCACCUACACAGUAGCCGGCGGCGCUCUAAUUCUACUCGGCGCGUGGGAAUCGGUCAUCUCCGCCUCCGAAUCCCUCAAACAAACCCCACCGCCACACUCGCCGCAAAAUAGUAAACAAUCCACGCCGCCGGGAACAGCCUCAUUUUCGUCGACAGUGACGUUUCUGCUGAUCUCCGUUCUGUCCGUACUCUUCGUCGUGAACUCAUUCAUCUCUUUAUCCGACGUCGUCGCCUCCGACGAUGACGUCGGUUUCGCCCUACAGUUGGAGGUAAUUGCAAUCGGCUUCCUUUUCACAGGCAAAAGGUAGCACUCUUUUUGUAAUAGGUUUCUUAAUUUGUAAGUUUAAGGCAUUAUGCUAGAAAGAUGAUAUAAGAAACAAAGGGUUUGGUAUAGGGUUUCUUUUGGCCUUCUUGAAAUGUGUAUAUAGAACUCCAUGGGAAAACUCAUGUAAAUGUAUUUUCAACAACCUAUAAUUUCUUGUUUAUUUGAAGUUGAUUUUAUGUUUUCAGAAGUCAAAAUUUUAGUUGAUUCCAUUAAAUUAUCAUUUCUUGUUUAUUUGAAGUUGAUUUUUUGUUUUCAAAAGUUACAAAUUUAAGUUAAUUCCAUUAAAUUAAAUUUUUUCUGUGUUGAUUUUGUGGAUUUGAACAGUGGCGAAGCCAGAAUUUUAUGUUUCACGUUAAAAAAAGACCUAGUUUCUUCUAUAAUUUUGAUUUUUUUAAUUUCGAGGGCUUAUAAGUUUAUGUGGUAUUUGAUAAUAUAGAUGUCUACAAACAAAAGAAAAUAGACCACUAGUGCAAUUGGAAUCACUAUAGUUAUAUUUAAAAUAUUAGAAUUUAUCUAGUUUUAUUUUUACGAUUUUAUGAAAGUGAGUGUCCUUAUUUUAAAAUUUCCAUUGCUUUUGGAACUGGAAUAAAUUUUGUACUUUCAAAAAAUUUUUUUUUUUUUUUCGAAAAGAUUAAUUUCGAUCCAUUUUAUCUGACUUUCAAUCUUGAUGCCAAGAUAUAGGAUAAAACUACAAGAAAAUAAGCACAAAAGGAAACAUGUUUAUUUAAGGUUUCAGACCCGUCACACAUUCUAGGAUACAAGCUUGAAAUACAGAAAUAUGAAACAUAAAUUACCGUACAAUUUAUGUGUUUUAUUCUUACAAAGGGAAAUCUGGUGUGAGAGAGAGAGGGAGAGAGAGAGAGAGAGAGAGAGAGAGAGAGAGAGAGAGAGAGAGAGAGAGAGAGAGAGAGAGAGAGAGAGAGAGAGAGAGAGAGAUAGAGAGACAGAGAGAGAGAGAGAGAUAAAAACAGGUCUUUUAUUCAGUCACGCGCCAAGCCACGUUGAAGCAAUAUUUCACACGUUAUAUAAAGCUCUGAUUCCCUGGAUAUCAUCUGCAUUCAAACCCUUGGUCCUUCCAGACGAAAGUCGAGGGUACAUAAUCGCAGCCUCGACCGAGCUAUGACCUAGCCCUAGAAGGUGCCCGAUUUCAUGCAAUGCCACCGUUUCCAGGUCGAAAGCAUUCGGCACUGGCCCAAUGGACCACCGCUCGUCCGCAUCGUAAUGGAACCUCCCGUUGGUCGGAGCGAACGCAUGGGCUAGGGUUCCGCCAGGUCCGUCGAACGGGGCCCCAUCUCCGUGGUUCCGACGAUGAAACCCUAUCACCAUAUCAGCACUCCGACCGCUCGGGGCCUGCGAAAAGGUGAAGUGAGUGGCGGCGUCCCAUCUCUGGAAGGCCCGUACGACGGGGGCCACCGCCCCCGCGGGGGUGUUGGGAGAAAACCCGAACGUCAGAUGAGUUCUGGAAGGCGGCCAUCUGAGGUUUCCCGGAAAGAAACUGUAGUGAGACACUGUAUGGAUAUGGCCGCUCGAGCCCGAUUCGUGUUUUUUCGUACCGGACUUCUGCAUGGUGUUAUCGCCGUUGAUGAUGUCGGCGACCCCACAUCGAGUGGUGGUCAUUGUAGAUACCGUUAUGGCAUCUAGUGUGCCAGUGGGGUUAAUAUGGUAAUUACGCUGGUAGGUUUUGACGGCGGAUUCUAGGGUUUCGUCGAAGUCGUCAUUGUAAUUGGCGUGGGUUCGAUUUGGGUAUUGGAGAUAGCCAAAUUGAUGUAGGUAGUUUUUAAGAUUGUGGAUUUCUUUGGUUUUGUUGCCCUUGUGACAACCUUGUAGGGUUUUGAUGAAUUCAAAUGGUGCUUGUUUUUGUUCACUUGGUGUAUUCCUCUUGGCUUGGCCAAUAGGAGAGAGGGAAAUUAGGGCAAGAAUGAAGAUUGAUAAAAGGUGAGAAGUAGCCAUUGUUGAGUGUCAAGAAUAUUAAGAUAUUGCUUUUGCUCUAUAGAAUAAUGUUUAUUUACAUGUCUAUUUAUAGAGAUUCAUUUGUAUUGAUUUUGAUUUUUAUUUUUUUAAAAGAGUGCCAUAAUUUGUACUAGGUGUCUAUUUUAUGAAUUUUAACUAGAAAUAAAGAAAGAAAGAAAGAAAUAAAUAUAUAAUACAAGAUUACAAGUUGUUGACUUGGAUGACCAAAAUACCAGGUCCAUGCAUGACAAUUGACUUUCUUUAUUCCAUUUUAAAUAUAGAAAUAGAAUGUUGGUUUCAUUUUCCUUGGAAAAAUAAGAUGAUUUAAAAAAAAAAGGGUAAAUUACAAACACCCCUGAGGUAUGGUCAAAUUACAAAAACACCCCUCUUGUUUGGAUAAUUACAACCACCCCCUCAACUCCUCAAAUUUAGUGGAAUCUUCGAGAUUAUAUGGAAUAUUAUCACUUUUGUACACGUUUUAUCCCAUUCAAACUCUACAUUAUGAAGCAAGAUGAUCAUAAUAUGUGAUUUUUAGCUUGUAUAUAUCAGUUUGUGGUGCAUCGGAAACUGCAUUUUUACACAAAACGAGUACAAACUAGAGCACAUUCCACGGAAUCUAGAUGAUUAUGUUGAAUUGGGCACCAUACGGGUGGAGGUGUAAGAAAAAAUCAUAGUUGAGGGGGGUAUUUGUAAUUAUCCAAACAAGAGGGGUGUUUUUGUAAUUUGACCAUACCUCAGGGGGGUGUUUGUAAUUUACCCUAAAAAAAAAUCUUCUUCAUUAGAAGAGGAAAGAAGAAAGACAUAAUUAAAAUGGGGUUCAAUGUUAAGUCCAAUCAACUAAUUAAUAGGGUUGUCCAGCAAGGGAUGACCUAGCCGUUGGAGCAAGUGAGUGUGAUUGAAUUGACCCAGGUUCGAAUUUUCUUGCCAACGGUCGCUAGGUCGAGCUUGCGACACAUGGUUAGUCUAGUGUGGUUUACGUCUCUCUUAUGAUUUACAAACUAUUAUACGAGAGUGUAGGUCUACACAGUGCACCUAUAUAGUCGGUUGCGUAUUCCUUUAUUACCAAAAACAAAUAAAUAUUAAUAUUCAUAUACAAUAUUUUUACUCAUUAUAAAAUAUUAAAAAGGGUGGGGACAUGUACGUACUUUUUUUUUUUUUUUUUUUUUUUUAAAUCUUGUCUUCAACAUCUUAUUACUUUUCAAAAAAACUACGAAACAUUUCUAACAGAGCUUAUAACUUCUUAAAUAUCUUAUUAGCUCUAUUUAACAGCUUAUAAGCUUAUGCAAACACCCUCUAAAUGCCUCUAAAUGCAGAGUUGAAUCAGUCCAAUUUGGAGACAAAGUGGGAAGAAAUCGUGUUGUUCAGUUCAUCUUAUUUUCCAAUCCAAAAUAAGACUUCCCCUCGUCUUUGGUGGUCCUAGCUAACAUAUCUUUAUUUAUUUUAUUUUAUUUAUUUUUAUUUUUUUUAUUUCUAUGUCACGGCACUACUUACAUAAGACUUUUCAUAAAGUCGAGCUCGUCUGUUUUGAAAGGUUCGAGCUCGAACUCGUUUACCACCCCUAAUUUGGGCUGUAUAUAAUUUUUUGAUUUUAUAUUGAUAAAUUAUUUAAUACUUGGAGGUCUAGCUAGAGAUGAUAUAUAUAUAUAUAUAUAUAUAUAUAUAUAUAUAUAUAUAUAUAUAUAUAUAUAUAUAUAUAUAUAUAUAUAUAUAUAUAUAUAUAUAUCCACGUUAAGUAUGGCCAAAUUACGAAAAAAACCCUCUUGUUUGGGUAAUUACAACCAUCUCUCUUCUUUUAAAAAAUUUUUACAUAAAAUUUAUGUAAUUCGGUUAUUUACCGAACCAAAUCGUAUAUUCAUUUCGGUAAACGGUAUGAAAUGUUGGCGUACCAAAAUUUCGGUUCGAUUUUACAGAUUUGACAUUCCUAAAUUUACCUCUAGAAGGGUAUUUUCGUAAAAUAAUACAUAGUUGAGGGGGUGGCAGUAAUUACCCAAACAUGAGGGUAUUUUUCGUAAUUUGACCAUAACUCAGGGGUAGCCGUAAUAUGCCCCAUAUAUAUAUAUUGCACAUUUGCCCCCAAUAAAGAACUUAGAUAAUAAAAAGUACUUGCCUCUAUAAUGGUUCAAUUGAGAAGGAAAAAUAUCAAAUUGACUGUAAGUUUGAUGCUUCAUCUCUUCCUGGAGCUACUCAAAAGUCACUAUUUAGGUGCCAUGUUUGGGGUAACCUCAAAAAAUGUCAAUAAUUUAAAUCGGAGAAACAAGAAAAAAAAAAACAAUAAUAGCAAUAAUUUAUGAUGGGAAUUUAAAUCGGAAAUAUAAGUCUAUAACACUCUAUUUAUGAAAAAAAAUACAUUCUCUAUAAAUUUUCUAUUACAGCUUGCAAUUAAUUAGUCAAAUGUAUAAAAUAAAACAAGAAAAUAAAAGGAAUGCAAAAGUAAUUUGAUCACUAGAAUAAGAACAAAAAUAAAUUAAACUUUUUUUUUUUUGAGAACAAAAAUAAAUUAAACUACUUAUAUGGAAAAAGAUAAUUUCGUAGAAGUGUAGUCAUUAUAAGUAUAGUUUGAUAAAAGGAGUUUAUAAACUGCUAAAAGAAUAUAAGAUUAAUAAUACUUUUGUUUAUGCUCAUAUCUUGUUAAUCUUUUGAGGAUAGAUAUUUAAUAUAAUUUCUAAUUAUAAUCUUUAGGAAAUUUAAUUUUUUUUAACAAACCCCUGAAAACUCACUCUUUAGGGAAUUUAUGUGCUAAAAAUUAAGGCUAAAGUACAAAAAACCCCUGAACUAAGGUCUAAUUACCAAAACCCACCUCAGAAAUUCAUAAUUAGCAAAACACUCUCUGACUAAUCGUUGACCAGAUUUCUUAAAAAGAAAUUGUUGUGUCUUUAAUGCCCCUAAGUUAAAUAAAAUUCAAAAAUCAUAAAAUUCGGUGACAUUUUGAAGACUUUCAAUUGAAUUUUGAAGGAUAUUUCAAUAUUUAUAUUAAAAAAUAUUGCAAUUACCUCUAUGAAGGAAUAAUAUUAUUACAAUUACCUCUAAGGGUAAAAUUGGAAUUUUUGAAAAAUAUUCCUUGAAAUUAGAAAGAUUCCGUCGAAGUUCACAGUAUAAGUGGACAAUGUAAGGCGACAACAAAAUUUCAGACCAAUAGGAAAACAAAAUAAUAAAUAGAAAAAAUAUGUAUGCAUUAAAAUAGAAAAAAUAUGUAUGCAUUAAUAAAUAGAAAACAAAAUAAUAAAUAGAAAAAAUAUGUAUGCAUUAGGAGAGUUGGUACCUAGCCUUUACCAAUAGGGUAACGGUCUAGGGUUCGAGUCCCCCCCCCCCCCCCCCCCUCCUACUUCCCCUUGUAAUGGACUUGAAUUUACUCAAAAAAAAAAAAAAAAAAAUAAAAAAAAAAAUAUGUAUGCAUUAAUAUUUCAUAUUUCAUACCAAUGGGAAAACAAAAACACAAACUAUUAUAAAGUUUAUUUUCUUCAUUAUUAUUAAAAAGGGAAAAAAAUCCUUAAGUAGCACACUAAUACAUUAUUCCGAACAAAAGAAACAUUUUGUUACAUUUAUAGAGAUAGAUGACGUAUUUUUUAAUUCAAUCAAAUUAACCAUGCCCAAUAAUAUUUCAGACAUUGUAUAAAGCUCUAAUUCCUUGAAUAUCAUCUGCAUGCAAAUUCUUGGUCACACCAGCUCCAAUUCCGGAAUACAUAAUUGCAGCCUCGACCGAGCUAUGCCCAAGCCCAAGAAGGUGCCCGAUUUCAUGCAGCGCCACCGUUUCCAAGUCGAAAGCAUCUUGGACUGGCCCAACGGACCACCGUUCGUCCGCAUCGUAAUGGAAUCUCCCAUUGGUCGGAGCAAAAGCAUGGGCUAGGGUUCCGCCACGUCCGUCGAACGGGAAUCCAUCCCCGUGAUCCCCACGGUGAAAUCCUAUCACCAGAUCGGCGGAAUUCUGGGCCCGCGAAAAGGUGAAAUGGGUGGAGGAGGCCCAUUUUUGAAAGGCCCGAGAAACGGGGCCCACUGCUGGCGCGGGAGUGUUGGGCAAAAACCUGUAAGUUAGAUGGGUUUUGGAAGGCGGCCAUCUAGGAUUUCCUUGAAAGAAAGAGUAGUGAGAUACUGUAUGGAUAUGUUUGCUGCUCGAGUUCGAUUCGUGUUCUUUUGUCCCAUGCUUCUGCAUGGUGUUUUUACCGUCGAUGAUGUCGGGGACCCCGCAUCGAGGGGUGGUCAUUUUCGAUACCGUUGUGGCAUCUAAUGUGCCUGUGGGGUUAAUAUGGUAGUUUCGCUGGUAGGUUUUGACGGCGGACUCUAGGGUUUCGUCGAAAUCGUCGUUGUUGGCGUGAGUUUCAUUUGGGUAUUGAAGAUAGCCAAAUUGAUGGAGGUAGUUUUUGAGGUGGUGGAUAUCUUUGCUUUUGUUGCCCUUGUGACAACCUUGUAGGGUUUUGAUGAACUCAAAAGGUGAUGGUUUUUUAUCACUUGGUGUAUCCCUCUUGGAUUGGCCAAUAGGAGAGAGGGAAAUUAGGGCAAGAAUGAAAAUGAAUGAUAGGAGAUUAAAUUGUUUAAGUGCCAUAAUUAAGAAUUAAGAAGUUAUACUCAAGGAAUUCAAUAAGAAGUUUGUGUAUAACAUAAUGCAAUGUGGUAUGUCUAUUUAUAUAUACAUAUUUGUAUGUAGAAAAAAAGGAGAGGGGAAGGACACAUAAAUAUUAGAGACGACUCAUAGUAGAAGUUUGUAUGAAGAAAGAAUAAAUCAACACAAGCUCUUGUCUUUAAUUUGAUGACUUGACUUUGACUUUGACUUGAUCGCAUCAUAUAUAAUUUUUUGAACACAAAGCCAAGUCCAUGAUAUAUAAUUUACCUGAAUAUUUAUGUUUUGUACGUACACGAAUGAUAAAGAUUUACCUGGUGGAACGAAAUAAGUUUAUCUCUCGUAAGUGGUAACGAUUAUAUUUCUCUAUAAAAUGGUUUCUUUUUAUUUCAGUAUUUAUAAUCUAUUAAAAUUAAUUGAUUGGAAUAUCAUAAUCAUCUGAUUGGUGGAUACAUUAUUAUUACUGAAAGUAGUGAAUAAAGCAAUUUACAUCAUUUUUUAUUUAUAAAAUAUACUUUAUUUAACUGGCCUUCUAUUCAUUGUACUCACUAGAAAUACACCUUGGCUGCAUUUAUAUAUAUAUAUAUAUAUAUAAAUGACUUGAUGUGAUUGUAUAGUGCAAUUUCUUAAGUCCAUAGAAAGUUUACUCGGUUUAGCAUUAGGAAUGUGGAAAUAAAUUGUGUUAUUUUCUUCAUCCAAUGAGAAUUAUCAAAUAAGGCGUAAUUGAGGGGUUUGGAAUUUUAGGACAUUAUGUUGUGACUAAUGACUUGGAAAUUGGACAAAUUGGAAUUAAAUUACCACAUUCGAAGAAAAAAAUAUUACUUUCCAUGUAGCAGGGACACGGAAAGAAUGACUUGGAAAUUGGGAGGAAAUUGGAUAAAUUGGAAUUAAAUCACCACAUUCGAAGAAAAAGAAUAUUUGUUACUUUCUAUGUAGCACGGAUACGGAACCACGGACAUGGUGAAACAAGUAAAUAGACUCGGGAAAACACGAGAACACCCUAUUUUUCAAAAAAAUGGAUACGAGAAUGUGGGUAAACAUGUAAAUAUUAAAAAUAUAGGGGUACAUCCAUAAUGUAUGAAAAGAUAUUAUAAUGUUAACUUAUAUACAUAUCCUCAAUUAUAAAUUUGUAUCUACAAAUUAUAUAUAAUUUAUAAGUUCCAAUCCAUAUUAUUAUUCGAUAAAUAAUAUACAAGGCAUAUAAAUUUAUUUUAGUGUUGAAUUAAAGUCUGAAAAAUAUUAAAACACUACUAGAAUUGAAAAGAAGACAUAAAGUUUUUUUUUUUAAAUAAUCAAGUAUAGGAAAUUUCGAAUCUUUAUUCAAAAACGUGUUUUGGAUUUUUUUUUUGGGCGUAACUGCUUUUCCAUUUUUUUUAUUAUUACCAUAAACAUCACCGGAAAUUUUAAACAUUUAUGGAAACGGCUCCGAAAUGUUUCCGACAUGUGAUAGAGUUUCGAUUUCCGAAACGUUCCCUGAAACGUGGAAACGCUAUGUACCGAAGUUUCCGUGCAUCAUAGAUUGCUUUGAAUUCAUGUACAAGUAGUAAUUUUCUUGUAAAAAAUAUUAUAGAUUCUAAGAAACAACUUAUAAAAUGACUAAAAUAUUCUUCUCACUAAUUAUUUCGUUAAUUAUAUACUUAACAUAUUAAUAGUAGUAAUAACAAAAUUGAGAAAAGUGUAAUAUUAUUUCACCAUAAUUGGAAUGAGUAUUAUUUAGUAUCUACUAUCUACCCAAAAAAAAAGGUUAGUUCUAAUUUUAUUGGACCGAAUAUUCCUCAAAUUUUCAAGGGUAGUUUGGUCUUUCUGGUAACGAUGGUGAUUAAUUUGCUAAUAUGUAUUACUAUUAGUUUGCAUGUAUCCAUUUAUCUGGAAAAUUCAUUUUGGCGGUCACCGGAGCCGAAUUUAGUGAAAGAUCAGCUGUGAGCCGCCGCCGAAUUAGUACCAACGAUCCAAUUCGUUAGAUCCGAUAUACCUAAUCCAAAUUCCACCGCCGUCCUCGUUUCUUCUUCAAUCUCGCAAAUUUCCUCUUCUUAUGGAAUAAUAUCAUUACAGUUACCUUUAAGGGUAAAAUUGGUACUUUCGACAAAUAUUUCCGUCGAAAUUAACAGUUUAAGUGGACAAUGUAAGGCGACAACAAAUUUCAGACCAAUGGGAAAACAAAAUAAUAAAUACAAAAAUAUGUAUAUAUUAAUGUUUCAGAACAAUGGGAAAACAAAUACACAAAUUAUUAUAAAGUUUAUUUUAUUCAUUAAUAUUAGAAAGGUAAAAAAAAAAUCCUUAAGUAGCACACUAAUACAUUAUUCCGAACAAAAGAAACAUUUUGUUACAUUUAUAGAGAUAGAUGACGUGUCUUUUAAUUCAAUCAAACCAUACGCAAUAAUAUUUCAGAUAUUAUAUAAAGCUCUAAUUCCUUGAAUAUCAUCUGCAUGCAAGCCCUUUGUCACUCCGGCCCCAAUUCCGGAGUACAUAAUGGCAGCCUCGACCGAGCUAUGACCAAGCCCAAGAAGGUGCCCAAUUUCAUGUAGCGCCACCGUUUCCAAGUCGAAAGCAUCUUGGACAGGCCCAACGGACCACUGCUCGUCCGCAUCGUAAUGGAAUCUCCCAUUGGUCGGAGCAAAAGCAUGGGCUAGGGUUCCGCCGCGUCCGUCGAACGGGUUUCCGUCCCCGUGGUCCCCACGGUGAAACCCUAUCACCAGAUCUGCGGAACUCUGGGCCAGCGAAAAGGUGAAAUGGGUGGAGGAGGCCCAUUUUUGAAAGGCCCGAGAAACGGGACCCACUGCCGCCCCGGGGGUGUUUGGCAAAAACCUAUAAGUUAGAUGGGUUUUGGAAGGCGGCCAUCUAGGGUUUCCUUGAAAGAAAGAGUAGUGAGAUACCGUAUGGAUAUGUUUGCUGCUCGAGUUCGAUUCGUGUUCUUUUGUCCCAUGCUUCUGCAUGGUGUUUUUACCGUCGAUGAUGUCAGGGACCCCGCAUCGUGGGGUGGUCAUUUUCGAUACCGUUGUGGCAUCUAAUGUGCCCGUGGGGUUAAUAUGGUAGUUUCGCUGGUAGGUUUUGACGGCGGACUCUAGGGUUUCGUCGAAAUCAUCGUUGUUGGCGUGGGUUUCAUUUGGGUAUUGGAGAUAGCCAAAUUGAUGGAGAUAGUUUUUGAGGUGGUGGAUAUCUUUGGUUUUGUUGCCCUUGUGACAACCUUGUAGGGUUUUGAUGAACUCAAAAGGUGAUGGUUUUUUAUCACUUGGUGUAUCACUCUUGGAUUGGCCAAUAGGAGAGAGGGAAAUUAGGGCAAGAAUGAAAAUGAAUGAUAGGAGAUUAAAUUGUUUAAGUGCCAUAACUAUGUAUCAAGAAGUUAUACUAAGAAUUGGAUAAGAAGUUUGUGUAUAGCAUAAUGCAAUGUGGUAUGUCUAUUUAUAUAUACACAUUUGUAUGUAGAAAAAAAGGAGAGGGGAAGGACACAUAAAUAUUAGAGACGACUCAUAGUAGAAGUUUGUAUGAAGAAAGAAUAAAUCAACACAAGCUCUUGUCUUCAAUUUGAUGACUUGACUUUGACUUGAUCGCAUCAUGUAUAAUUUUUUAGGCCAAGUCCAUGAUAAUUUACUUGGAUAUUUAUGUUUUGUAUGUACAUACAUACAUGAAUGAUGAAGAUUUACCUGUUGGAACAAAGUAAGUUUAUCUCUCGUAAAUCGUAACGAUUAUAUUUCUCUAUAAAAUGGUUCUUUUCUAUUUGAUGAUGCUAUAAAUAGACCGCCUUAAGUAGUUGAGGUAGAAGGAGUUGGGAGAGCAAAGUGGAUCACUGCUCACGUGCUAGAUGGUCCUGAGAUACCCGCGAACAAAGAGCACGCGAACGAGGCCGUGGGUUGAUCCGGCGAAAAUCCCUUUGACGCUCAAGUCAGACGUGUGGAUAGUAGAAAUAGUUAAGAGGAUACGAAUUGGAGAAUUGUUCAGAUAAUAGAACGUACCUUUAAUAAAAUGGUUAAAUCGUUAUUUAUAACUUGUCGAUUGGGCCGAAGUUAAUUUGUUGUGCUCAAACCUUAUUUGCAGGUCAUUGGGCUCUCCUAAUACUGUUCUUCUAAAUCGGGCUCGUGGCCCAAUAAAUAGAGAAAUUGUAUGGUUAUUGGACUGACCAAUUAGACAUAUCAUAUUUUAGUAUUUAUAAUCUAUAAAAUUAAUUGAUUGGAAUAUCAUAAUCAUCUUAUUGGUGGAUACAUUAUUAUUAAUGAAAGUAGUUGAAUAAAGCAAUUUACAUCAUUUUUUAUUUAUAAAAUAUAUUUUAUUUAAUUGUCCUUCUAUUUAUUAUACUCACUAGAAAUACACCUUGGCUGCAUUUAUAUAUAUAUAUAUAUAUAUAUAUAUAUAUAUAUAUAUAUAUAUAUAUAUAUAUAUAUAUAUAUAUAUAAAUGACUUGAUGUGAGUGUAUAGUGCAAUUUCUUGAAUAGAAGAUUAAGAGGGUGUUUGGCUAAGCUUAUAAGAUGUUAAAAGGAGCUUAUAAGAUGUUUUAGAGCUUAUAAGCUCUUCUAAAGUGUUUGGUAAAUUUUUAAAAAAGAUCUUAAUUUUUUUAAAAAUAAGCUGUGGGAGACCAAAUAAAAUCUUUUUAAAUAAGUACCUCUACCCCACCUUUUCAUUUAAGAUCUUAUAAUGAGUAAAAAUAGGAAAUAAGCUCAUUAUCCAAACACUAUAAAAAUUAAUCCUAAAAAUAAGACAUAACAACUUAUCAGCUCUAAAAACAUCUUAUCAGAUGUAAGAGCUUAUCAGCUGUUUAAAAUAAGCUUAGCCAAACACCCUCUAAGUCCAUAGAAAGUUUACUCGGUUUCUAUUUGAAUUAGGAAUGUGGAAAUAAAUUGUGUUAUUUUUCUUCAUCCAAUGAGAAUUUUCAAGUAAGGCGUAAUUGAGGGGUUUGGAAUUUUUAGGACACUAUGUUGUGACCAAUGACUUGGAAAUUGGGAGGAAAUUGGACGAAUUGGAAUUAAAUUACCACAUUCGAAAAAAAUAAUUAUUUGUUGUUUUUUAUGUAGCACGGACACGGGAACUCGGACAUGGUGAAACAGGUAAAUAGACUCAGGAAAACACGAGAAAACCCUAUUUUUCAAAAAAAUGGAUACGAAAAUGUGGGGAAACAUGUAAAUAUUAAAAAUAUAGGGGUACAUCCAUAAUGUAUGGAAAAAUAUUAUAAUGUUAACUUAUAUACUUAUCAUCAAUUAUAUAUAAUUUACAAGUUCCAAUCCAUAUUAUUAUUCGGUAAAUAAUAUACAAGGCAUAUAAAUUUAUUUUAGUGUGGAAUUAAAGUCUGAAAAAUAUUAAAACACUACUAGAAUUGAAAAGGGGACAUAAAUUUUUUUUAAUAAAAAAAAUAAGUAUAGGCAAUUUCGACUCUUUAUUUAAAACGUGUUUUGGAUUUUUUUUUUGGGCGUAACUGCUUUUCCAUUUUUUUAUUAUUACCAGAAACAUCCCCGAAAAUUUUAAACAUUUAUGGAAACGGCCCCGAAACAUUUCCGACAUGUGUUAUAGAGUUUCGAUUUCCGAAACGUUUCCUGAAAUGUGGAAACGCUAUGUAACGAAGUUUCCGUGCAUCAUAGAUUGCUUUGAAUUCAUGUACAAGUAGUAAUUUUCUUGUAAAAAAAUAUCAUAGAUUCUAAGAUAUAAAAAACUUAUAAAAUGACUAAAAUAUUCCUCUCACUAAUUAUUUCAUUAAUUAUAUACUUAACAAAUUAAUAGUAGUAAUAAUAAAAUUGAGAAAAGUGUAUUAUUUCACCAUAAUUGGAAUGAGUAUUAUUUACUAUCUACCCCCAAAAAAAAGGUUAGUUCUAAUUUUAUGGACCAAAUAUUCCCCAAUAUUUCAAGGGUAGUUUGGUCUUUCUGGUAACGAGGGUGAUUAAUUUGCUAAUAUGUAUUACUAAUAUACUAUUAGUUUGCAUAAUAUCCAUUUAUAAGGAAAAUUCAUUUUGGCGGUCACCGGCGCCGAAUUUAAUGACAAAUCAGCUGUGAGCCGCCGCCGCCGCCGCCGAAUCAGAAACCCACGAUCCAAUUUGUUAGAUCCGAUAUAAUCCGGAUUCUACCGCCGUUCUCGUUUCUUCUUCAAUCUCGCAAAUUUCCUCUUCUUAUGGAAUAAUAUUAUUACAAUUACCUCUAACGGUCAAAAUGGUAUUUUCGACAAAUAUUUCCGUCGAAAUUCUAAUUAGUAUAAGUGGAUAAUGUAAGGCGACAACAUAUUUUAGGCCAAUGGGAAAACAAAAUAAUAAAUACAAAAAUAUCUAUGUAUAUUAAUAUUUCAGACCAAUGGGAAAAACAAAACACAAAUUAUUAUAAAGUUUAUUUUAUUCAUUAUUAUUAGAAAGGUUAAAAAGAAAAUCAUUAAGUAGCACUCUAGUACAUUAUUCCGAACAAAAGAAACAUUUUGUUACAUUUAUAUAUAUAGAGAUAGAUGACGUAUCUUUUAAUUCAAUAACAAUAUUUCAGACAUUAUAUAAAGAUUUAAUUCCUUGAAUAUCAUCUGGAUGCAAGUUCUUGGUCACUCCGGCGCCAAUUCCGGAAUACAUGAUUGCAGCCUCGACUGCGCUAUGCCCAAGCCCAAGAAGGUGCCCGAUUUCAUGCAGCGCCACCGUUUCCAAGUCGAAAGCAUCUUGGACUGGACCAACGGACCACAACUCGUCCGCAUCGUAAUGGAAUCUCCCAUUGGUCGGAGCAAAAGCAUGGGCUAGGGUUCCGCCACGUCCGUCGAACGGGUUUCCGUCCCCGUGAUCCCCACUGUGAAACCCUAUCACCAGAUCGGCAGAGCUCUGGGCCAGCGAAAAAGUGAAAUGGGUGGAGGAGGCCCAUUUCUGAAAGGCCCGAGAAACGGGGCCCACUGCCGCCGCGGGGGUGUUGGCCGAAAACAUGUAAGUUAGAUGGGUUUUGGAACGCGGCCAUCUAGGGUUUCCUGGAAGGAAAGAGUAGUGAGAUACUGUAUGGAUAUGUUUGCUGCUCGAGUUCGAUUCGUGUUCUUUUGUCCCAUGCUUCUGCAUGGUGUUUUUACCGUUGAUGAUGUCGGGGACCCCGCAUCGAGGGGUGGUCAUUUUCGACACCGUUGUGGCAUCUAAUGUGCCCGUGGGGUUAAUAUUGUAGUUUCGCUGGUAGGUUUUGACAGCGGACUCUAGGGCUUCGUCGAAAUCGUCGUUGUUGGCAUGGGUUUGAUUUGGGUAUUGGAGAUAGCCAAAUUUAUGGAGGUAUUUUUUGAGAUUGUGGAUUUCUUUGGUUUUGUUGCCCUUGUGACAACCUUGUACGGUUUUGAUGAAUUCAAAUGGUGAUGGUUUUUUGUCACUUGGUGUAUUCCUCUUGGCUUGGCCAAUAGGAGAAAGGGAAAUUAGGGCAAGAAUGAAGAUGAAU
rnacentral:lncRNA from 1 species